CAAUCUGUUGUUGUUCUGUGAAGUGAUGUGUUAUGUGGAGGCAUUAGUGUCGAAAAAGCUGUGGUUUUUAAUAAACAAGGGAAUCUAAAGAAAAUAUUAAUAUAAGUUUUCGAAUUGAGCAUUGUUAAGAAAUAACACAGUGUAUACCGAAAUAACUGUAAGAAAUACUAGCGAGUGAGUAAUGCAGAAGGUUUUAGUUAGAAGAUUCACGAAAUCCCCAACAACGAGUUUCUCAACUUUUGAACCAACUAUAACUGAGGAAUUCAACAAUUUUAUGAAGUUUAUGCUAGAUGACAAAGAUACAGAGAAAAGAAUGUUGCCUGAAUAUAAUCCUUGACUCUGUUCCAUUUGUGUGUUACAUAUCCAACUAUGACAGAGGAGAUGCAGAAAUUCAUGAACUGCAUCUUAGAUGACAAAGAACCAACUGUGAUGAAUGAGGUGAUUCAGGAAUGUAUUACCAAUAUCUUAUAUUUUCCUAAACCUCAUUUGCAACUGAAUCCAUGUCUGAAGUGGACGUGUCCUUGUCAGUUAUUCCAACAGAGGGCGGCACAGAAAGUGACACCAGGAAACGCUCCUUUGAAUUUGCUUCUUUAGAAAAUAAAGAUGACAACCUGGCAAAGAAGCCACGAAAACUUGCUGCUGUGCAAAAUCAAAAAGUUACAAGACCGCC